rnacentral:misc_RNA from 1 species
GAUGAAGAACGUAGCGAAAUGCGAUACGUAAUGUGAAUUGCAGAAUUCAGUGAAUCAUCGAAUCUUUGAACGCAUAUUGCGCUCUUUGGUAUUCCGAAGAGCAUGCUUGUUUGAGUAUCAGUAAACAUCUCAAAGACUUCAAUUUGUUUUGAAUGGCUUUGGACUUGAGCAAUCCCAACACCAGUCUUUACGAUCGGUGGAGGGUUGCUUGAAAUGCAGGUGCAGCUGGACAUUCUCCUGAGCUAAAAGCAUAUUUAUUUAGUCCCGUCAAACGGAUUAUUACUUUUGCUGCAGCUAACAUAAAGGGAGUUUGACCGUAUUGGCUGACUGAUGCAGGAUUUCACAAGGGUCGGCAACGAUUCUUGUAAAACUCGAUCUCAAAUCAAGUAAGACUACCCGCUGAACUUAAGCAUAUCAAUAAGCGGAGGA